rnacentral:rRNA from 1 species
CAUCACUACGCUAGAUGCAUAUCAAUAAGCGGAGGAAAAGAAACUAACAAGGAUUCCCCUAGUAACGGCGAGUGAAGCGGGAAGAGCUCAAAUUUGAAAUCUUAAAGGGUUUCCCUUUACGAAUUGUAGUUUAAAGAAGUGUUUUCUGUUGGAGUUUCGGUAAAAGUUCUUUGGAAUAGGACAUCAUAGAGGGUGAGAAUCCCGUAUUUGACCGUUACUUUCCAGCUGUGUGAUACACUUUCAAAGAGUCGGAUUGUUUGGGAAUGCAGUCCAAAAUGGGUGGUAAAUUUCAUCUAAAGCUAAAUAUUGGCGAGAGACCGAUAGCGAACAAGUACCGUGAGGGAAAGAUGAAAAGAACUUUGAAAAGAGAGUUAAACAGUACGUGAAAUUGUCAAAAGGGAAGCGUUUGACACCAGUGUUGUUUAGUUGAAAAUCAAUUCAAUAAUUUUUGAUUUUGAGUAGUAUUGACUUCAUCAGCUUGCUGCUUUCUUUUCAGGAAAUUAUUGAAUGCACUUUUCAGUUAACAAGUCAACAUCAAUUUCUUUUGUUGUAAAAGGGUAAGAGGAAGGUGGCUUACGCUUCGGCGUAAGUGUUUAUAGCCUUUUACCUCUGCAAUCGGAGAGAUUGAGGACAGCAGCGUAGACUCUUCGGGGUUAGAUACACUUGUGCUAAGCUAUAGCCUUGUAUAGACAACUUGUUGACUAUGCUCAGUCAUGUAGCUUACUCGCUUGUGCUACUUUACCUACGCUUAGGAUGUUGACACACGCGCGUGCUCG